rnacentral:lncRNA from 1 species
CUUGUCAGCUGCUGAUGAGUCAGGAUGAGUCUAGAUGGCUUGAAAGAGCUCAGCGCAGCGAACACUAGCCAGUUUUCUAAGGUCACAAGCAAACUGGAGGACAAAAGAGCCGCAGAUUCCUGCACUAACUGGACUCAAGCAGAAGCAACAGAGAAAGAAAGAGAGCAGUUACUUCUUUUCCCUGGAUGAGCAACUGCUGAUGUGCAUUAAUUAAUCGGGAGAGAGAUCCAUCCUUCACCCUUUCCUAAGAUAAACAGACACAUGGCACCUUCCACCGGUGAUUCAAGUGAUUCAAGCAAAAUAUUUUCCUGUCCAGUCAUGAAAGAGCAUCUGCUGGCUCCCAGGCCAUCGCAUCCUGCCCUGCAGAAGGGAUCACCCAAUGAACUAGUAGCCA